GGGCCCGUAGCUCAGCCAGGUAGAAUAUUGCCUAAAGCACCGGGCUUUUAACCCGGGAGUCCCGGGUCCGAAUCACAGGAGGGAAUCCCGGCGGGCCCG
rnacentral:tRNA from 1 species